AGGCUGAUUAGCUCAGUUGGUUAGAGCAUUGUGCUAAUAAUGCCAAGGUCAUGGGUUCAAUCCUAUUUAUUUAU